rnacentral:rRNA from 1 species
CUAAACCCUUCCCAGAGUAUCAAUUGGAGGGCAAGUCUGGUGCCAGCAGCCGCGGUAAUUCCAGCUCCAAUAGCGUAUAUUAAAGUUGUUGCAGUUAAGAAGCUCGUAGUUGAAUUUCUGCCUUGUCAUUAAUCUCGCUUCCGAGCGUUUUUUUAUUGACUUGGCAUCUUCUGGAUUUGGUGCCUUCGGGUACUAUUUUCCAGGAUUUACUUUGAGAAAACUAGAGUGUUUCAAACAGGCAUUUGCCUUGAAUACUACAGCAUGGAAUAAUGAAGUAGGACUUUGGUUCUAUUUUGUUGGUUAUUGAGCCAGAGUAAUGG